rfam:Nicotiana attenuata strain TT chromosome 1, whole genome shotgun sequence.
AUCCCAAAUGAACUACUCAUUGUUUAUUUGAUUCAUGGGAGGCAUAUAUUGAUGUUGGGAGUUUGCUGUUAGCACCUUUCUUUUUCCGGGGGUGUUUCAAUAGUACCUUUCCGUACACUU